rnacentral:miRNA from 1 species
UGAUAUGUUUGGGUUACAAGGUG